rnacentral:rRNA from 1 species
CCUACGGGGGGCAGCAGUGAGGAAUAUUGGUCAAUGGACGAGAGUCUGAACCAGCCAAGUAGCGUGAAGGAUGACUGCCCUAUGGGUUGUAAACUUCUUUUAUAUGGGAAUAAAACGUUCCACGUGUGGGAUUUUGUAUGUACCAUAUGAAUAAGGAUCGGCUAACUCCGUGCCAGCAGCCGCGGUAAUACGGAGGAUCCGAGCGGUAUCCGGAUUUAUUGGGGUUAAAGGGAGCGUAGGUGGAUUGUUAAGUCAGUUGUGAAAGUUUGCGGCUCAACCGUAAAAUUGCAGUUGAAACUGGCAGUCUUGAGUACAGUAGAGGUGGGCGGAAUUCGUGGUGUAGCGGUGAAAUGCUUAGAUAUCACGAAGAACUCCGAUUGCGAAGGCAGUUCACUGGACUGCAACUGACACUGAGGCUCGAAAGUGUGGGUAUCAAACAGGAUUAGAUACCCGUGUAGUC